rnacentral:rRNA from 1 species
CCUGGCGGCCUUAGCGCGGUGGGACCACCUGACCCCAUGCCGAACUCAGAAGUGAAACGCCGUAGCGCCGAUGGUAGUGUGGGGUCUCCCCAUGCGAGAGUAGGGAACUGCCAGGC